GCCCGCCUAGCUCAAUCGGAUAGAGCGUCAGACUUUUACGAAUGUCUGUGAUAGGCAGGGUGUGAUCUGAAGGCUGCGGGUUCGACCCCCGCGGUGGGCU
rnacentral:tRNA from 1 species